rnacentral:lncRNA from 1 species
AGAUGAGGAGCACUGGAUAGCUAUGAAGAACAUCCUUAAGUACUUAAGAAGGACUACAAAUCUGUUCUUGGUCUUUGGAGGUGAUUUUGAGUUGUGAUUCGAGGGUGUAUUCUUGUUUGAUUUACUAGAAGGAUUCUGAGUAAUCGAUCAAUGGAGGCUGAGUAUGCUAUAGAUGUGUAGGAUAAAUUUUGAUUUUAAUAUU